rnacentral:rRNA from 1 species
AUGACGGCGCAGGAGUACGCCGACCGGCAACAGCGACGGCGGGACAGGCUCAAAGCCACGCGCCGAUUGCAGCUCGCGGACUCCGACGUCCCACCGCCACGCAUCACGGCGGACCCGGACGUGGUGUACACCUGGGCCCUGGACCGCUCCUUGACGACAUCAGAGACAGCCAAGCACCGUCGCCGCCACCUCGAGGAUUGGUCCCUCGCCGAGAUCGCCGCCGCCGCCAACGACGAUGCCUCCAACGACCGCCGCCCUCUCCCCCAUCCCAUGUCCUCGGUGGCAGCGGCUGCACUGCGCACGACACGAGAGGAGGCGAAGAGGAUCACCCGUGAGUGUCAGGCGGCCGCCGGGAAGCCCUUUCACGACGCCGCCACCUUUGGCCACUCCAAGCCUGACAACGACGACUCCGACUACGGGCCGGGCAAUGAUUACGGAGGAGGAGCCGCCGGCUAG